GACGAACGCUGGCGGCGUGCUUAACACAUGCAAGUCGAACGACGUGGCGAACGGGUGAGUCACGCGUAAUCAACCUGCCCUUCAGAGGGGGACAACAGUUGGAAACGACUGCUAAUACCGCAUACUGACGGUGGGGUUUGCGGCUGCUUAGCUAGUUGGAGGGGUAACGGCCCAUCAAGGCGAUGCUCAGUAGCCGGUCUUAGAGGAUGAACGGCCACAUUGGGACUGGGACACGGCCCAUACUCCUACGGGAGGCAGCAGUGGGGAAACUUCCGCAAUGGACGAAAGGCUGACGGAGCAACGCCGGGGGAGUGAUGACGGCCUUCGGGGUGUAAAGCUCUGUUAAUCGGGACGCGGUACCGGAAUAGAAAGCCACGGCUAACUACGUGCCAGCAGCCGCGGUAAUAC
rnacentral:rRNA from 1 species